AAACGGGUCUCCUCUUGUUGAUGGGUGCAAAACAUUAAUCCAUUAUGUACUUGUGCUUGACGUGUAUUAUAGCUAAUUAUUCACGUAUGGUUUUGGUCAGGGAAAUUAUGAUGAAGGCUAAUAGUUAGUACAGUAAUGUUUGCCUACUACAAAUGGAACACGCAGCACACAGAACACACAUUUACUAAGACGACUCUCGAAAUCAUCUGUUCAUACGGACGAAAAAAAUCCCAGCAUAAAUUAAGUAACUUCAUAAAUGAAUCGCGAGUAAGGAUUCGCCAGCCAUGCCACUCAGAAUCACGUGAUUAUAAAGGAAAAAAUACUUCCUGUAAUGACCAUCGUGUACUAUUUAGGCCUACUUGACCAACAGCGGGGAAGCUUCUAUCGAGGAGAGCGACUCGAUCUAACAAAUUGGGAUGACACACAACCGAAGAUUGAGGGUCCAGAUGUGCUGCUGAAGGGGGUGAGGUGUUUGUAUGUCAUCUGCGCUGGCGGCUGCGCGUACGCCCAUCCAAAGGGGAUGCUGUCAGACCUGAUGGAGGGGCCCCAGGCCUGAGGUGAUGGGGCUGGGGGUGGGGCCACCGGGUCACAGCCUACACACAUCUGGAAGCACUUCAGGUCAGCAGGGCCCGGCUGCCUGAAAGGUGAGACGAUACGACCUGACCUGAGCAGCACAGCAUGAAGAGCAUGCAACCGUCUGGAUGGAGAGCCAAACUUAGACACUAGAAUACACACUUGUAUACACGUUUAGUUGAUGGUGGGCACCUGAUUGAGGCUGUAUUCUUUGGCUUUCAGUCUCAGGUUAGCAAUACUGUUGGCCAUGUUCAUUCCCUGGGUGGAAGUGGCGUUGGCACAAGUGGGUGGGUGAAACCGCCGCUGUUUUGCAGCUGGUGUGGACAAUGAGCUAACAAAGAAGUUCUUGUGAAAGACAUCCAAUGGCGGCCGAUGCAGGUGGCAUCAAUUCUUCAGCUCUGUUACCCACAGACUUCAGGCACGCAAACAGCAACUUUUCCCUUCUGUCCUUGUCUUGAGUUCUUCUAAUUCUCUUUCUCACCCUCUCUUACUCAUCUCCCCCAGUGGUCCUCUGAAAGCUCAUUAAUGAACAUCUGGUCAUAAUUUUUAAAAUGUACCCAUCAGCAAGCAGGAAUUGGCCCACCCUGAGCCCCCAUCAGCUCCCUCUCUGCCCCCACCCCGGUCUCUCCACCUCAAGAUGCACUCAACGCCAGCCGCAAGGCCUAGAAUAGUUUAUAUGAGGUUUUUAAUGUAUUUACUUCUAGAGAAACUGGCCACCCCCAUCCAUAUAAGCAUGCCACUGUUGUGUGCUCCCCACCCAAAAGUAGCCCCUUAAUGCAAAGAACAGUUACUGUAAUGCAUUAUUCUGUUGGUUCAUACACAAACACACAAGUGUUCACCCCGGGUGAUUUACAGCCUCUAUCUACUUUAUGAAAGUAAUUAAACAUUUACAGUUAUUUUGCGUCGGA